GGCGGGGCCGGCCGGACACGGGAGCUUCGCGCCGAUCCCAGGGCAGGCCUUGUUGAGCAAGUCAUGGAGCUGCAAUACUCACUACUGAGAUGAGAUAGAUCCUGUGUGCAUUCUGAUUAGGGAAGAGGUGGAAAAAAGCAGAGCCUGGUGCAGCGACCAGGAAAUGUGGAUUUACAGAAGCCUGACCCUGAAUGCCAGCCUACAGAGAUUCCCUGAGACCACGGUGUCAAGAUGGCCUUCAGCCGGACAUGCAUGCCAGCACAGCUGACAUCUUUGCUUUCACCUUGAGAAAGGAGUUCUCAAACUGGAGUGACAGGGCUGGAGGCUGUCAGGGAGGCCUUGCCACUCUCAGGGAACCCUUUAUGUGUAGCCAGCCAUCAGGGAGGGAGCAGACCACUGCUCUGCAAGCAGGGAUAACCUGGCCCAGCUCCUGUCCUGCCAGCAGAGCACAUUUCACUGCACAAGCAGCAGGGGUUACAGAGGCUAGCAACCUUUCUCAACUGACUCAGCAGGAGAGACUGCAUUUUCAGAAACCCCCAAGGAGGCAGCAUAUUCCUAGAGUGUGUGUGCCAUUUGCUGUAAAUCAUUAAUUCAAAGACUGGGCUGGCUUUAAUAGAAACUGAAGAGACAGUGGUUUGCCUUUAUACCACUCACCCCAAAGUGAGGAGUGCACAAGCCUCUCAUUUUACGUCCAAAGAAGAUAGGAAUAGCCAUGGCCUAUGGGAACCAGACCAUAUCCAGGGACAAGGAAGUUAGGCACAUGGAAAUGAUCCUGUGAGCCCCAGCCUAGAGAUGUCCUUUCACCACCUUUCCAGCAAGACCUCCAGCUAGCUGGUGAAAGGCCACAGCAGGUGACACGCAGACACAGAAGACCAGACCCAGACAGAUCAGCUGGGAAAGGCCAUAGGGAGUAACCCUGGUGCCUACUGGAAUGGGUGUAACCACAGCCAGCCCUGACUAGCACCAGGACAAGGACAGGGCUGGCCUAAAUGGUAUUACCACCUUUAGUCUCAGGCAGAUUGCAGGUGUCUGCAGUUUAUAAAGCCCAGACAAAAUUAGAGGCUAGAGAACCCCUUUGAGGUCGCAGGGAAGCAAGUACAAAAGGUAACGCAAGGACAGCUCCAGCAGUCAACUUAAAUGCUUUUAUUGACAAUGUCUCUGAACAAUAAUAAGCAAACAAUGCUUAAGUUUCAUCCAAAUUCACUUUCCACAUGUCAAAAAAGACCUCAAGGUAGAAAAAAAUAAAAUAAAAAUAUAAAUAUCUGAGAAUCCGUCU